rnacentral:RNase_P_RNA from 1 species
UAAGUAGGACGGAUAAUCGCGGCUUUUAGCUGAGGAAAGUCCGGGCUUCAUAGGGCAGGAUGCCGGAUAACAUCCGGUGGAGGUGACUCCAAGGACAGUGCAACAGAAAUAUACCGCCUUAUUAUUAAGGUAAGGGUGGAAGGGCAGUGUAAGAGACUACCGCCUCAUUGGUAACAAUGAGGGCACAUGUAAACCCCAUCCGAAGCAAGACCAAAACAAAGAUUAAGGGUUGCCCGCCCACUUUAGGUAGGUCGCUAGAGACAGCUGGCGACAGCUGUAGUAGAUAGAUGAUUAUCGAUAACAUAACCCGGCUUAUAGUCCUGCUUAAUUA